AGGUCAGAAAACAUAGGCAGGUCACGAGUUUCGUUCAAUUCGUAUGUAAUGAGACCGAGUGUGGUAUUAUAUUUAUUACCUACGUCUUACAUGCAUUGAAUAGACAAAAUAG